rnacentral:rRNA from 1 species
AGAACGAACGCUGGCGGCAGGCUUAACACAUGCAAGUCGAGCGCCCCGCAAGGGGAGCGGCAGACGGGUGAGUAACGCGUGGGAACAUACCCUCCGGUUCGGAAUAGCUCAGGGAAACUUGGAUUAAUACCGGAUACGGCCUAGCGGCGAAAGAUUCAUCGCCGGAGGAUUGGCCCGCGUCUGAUUAGCUAGUUGGUGGGGUAAUGGCCCACCAAGGCGACGAUCAGUAGCUGGUCUGAGAGGAUGAUCAGCCACAUUGGGACUGAGACACGGCCCAAACUCCUACGGGAGGCAGCAGUGGGAAUAUGGACAAUGGGCGCAAGCCUGAUCCAGCCAUGCCGCGUGAGUGAUGACGGCCUUAGGGUUGUAAAGCUCUUUCGCUAGGGACGAUAAUGACGGUACCUAGACAAGAACGCCCCGGCUAACUUCGUCGCCAGCAGCCGC